GAGGAGAGAACAGGUGCUUGGGAGAUGAAAAUGUAUGUAUGUAUGAAUAUUUUCCCUAUCAUACACAAAAACACCCUAGAAAUCCUAUAUAUAACUUGCUAUAGAACACACUCACUCUCUCCCAUGUGCCCACUCCCUCUCACCUCCCACACACCUGCACUUCCCGUCCUGCAGCCUCUAAGCUGACCCUAACCUAACCUAACCUAACCCAUCAGAGGAGGAGGAGGCCAUCGUCAGCACCGCACGUCCUGAGACAACGCUUGGGGACACUGCCACCAUGCUGCACCCCGAGGACCCCUGCUACACCCACUUACACGCCCAACGCCUGCUUCACACACUGCCACGGGAGACCAUACCUAAAUCUGGGAACAAGUAUUCAGAAGAUCUUUUUAAGACUGCAAAGAUGUGGUUGUCAGCAGAUAAUAUUGAAGGAAUAGCAAACCUGUGUUUUAAAAAAUGAUCCCCACUGGAUGGACAAGAAUGGCAUGACUAUUCUUCACUUAUUGCAGUGUACUGUGCACUGCUAAGCUCUUGGAUGGUAUAGUUCAUCCUCAUGUGGUGACCCUUGAAGGCUUCACACCACUAGAUUUGGCAAGGCUGGAAUUUAAAAAGUCAGAUUGAGUUGUCUGGAAGCUGAGAUGAGUUGGUCGGGUAAUGAGUGACUUGCAUCAAGUGACCGUGAGGUGUUGGACGUGAUAUUGUGUUAUUGCAAGUGUAACCAGUAAUAAGUAAGUCCUUUCUUUAUAACUCUUCAUACAUGGAUUUGUCAUACAUGGAUGGAUAAGGCCCUUGUACAGAGUCAGCAGCUGAGGGGGUGAGAAAAACUGGCAGACAUCUCAGAAUGCCUAACUUCAUAGAAGCUGUUUUAGCUAGAGAUGAGAUAUGAAGUUUCCAGUUUCCAGACUGAGGAGGUUCAGUGUAGAAGAGGGGAUAGUUGUUGUCUGGAAGGUUGUGUUGAGUUGAUAGAUGGAGGAAUUGAGUUUUUGAGGCAUUGAACAAUACCAGGUUUGCUCUGCCCCAGUCAGAAAUUUUAGAGAGAGAUUAGAAGUGAGGCAUCCUGUGGCUUCCCUGCGUGAACUGUUUGCCUCCCGAAGGGUUGGACGUCUAUGAAAAGAUGUGGAAAAGUGCAGGGUGGAAUCAUCAGCGUAGGAGUGGAUAGGACAAGAAGUUUGGUUUAGAAGAUCAUUGAUGAAUAUAGGAAGAGAGUGGGUGACAGAACGCUGAGGAACACCACUGUUAACAGAUUUAGGAGAAGAACAGUGACUGUCUACCACAGCAGCAAUAGAAUGGUCAGAAAGGAAACUUGAGAUGAAGUUACAGAGAGAAGGAAAGAAGCUGUAGGAGGGUAGUUUGGAAAUGCAAGCUUUGUGCCAGACUAUCAGAAGCUUUUGAUAUAUCCAAGGCAACAGCAAAAGUUUCACCAAAAUCUCUAAAAGAGGAUGACCAAGACUCAGUAAGGAAAGCCAGAAGAUCACCAGUAGAGCGACCUUGAUGGACCCUAAUACUGGCAAUCAGAUAGAAGAAGGCUGUGAAGUGAUAGAUGUUUAAGAAUAUUCCUGUUGAGGGUAGAUUAAAAACUUUAGAUAGGCAGGAAAUUAAAGCAAUAGGACUGUUCUUUGAGGAAUUAAACCUAUUUCUGUUAUGAGCUAAGAUAGGCUAUGUUAGGUUAUAUUAAAUUAUAUAAUUAUUAUUUUUUGUUUCAUCAUUAUUAUUAAAGAAAGGACAUAGAACCGAGAAAAAUAAAGUUAAAAAUUAUUGUUA